rnacentral:rRNA from 1 species
UGGGGAAUAUUGGACAAUGGGCGCAAGCCUGAUCCAGCAAUACCGCGUGUGUGAAGAAGGCCUGAGGGUUGUAAAGCACUUUUAAUAGGGAGGAACACCUGUAGGCUAAUACCCUGCAGCAUGACAUUACCUAUAGAAAAAGCACCGGCUAACUCCGUGCCAGCAGCCGCGGUAAUACGGAGGGUGCAAGCGUUAAUCGGAAUUACUGGGCGUAAAGCGUGCGUAGGCGGUUAUUUAAGUCAGAUGUGAAAGCCCCGGGCUUAACCUGGGAACUGCAUUUGAUACUGGGUAACUCGAGUUUAGUAGAGGAGAGUGGAAUUUCAGGUGUAGCGGUGAAAUGCGUAGAGAUCUGAAGGAACACCAGUGGCGAAGGCGACUCUCUGGACUAAAACUGACGCUGAGGUACGAAAGCGUGGGUAGCAAACA